rnacentral:lncRNA from 1 species
GGCAUUUCAGGCACAGGGAACUGAAUAUGAAAAAAGUAUGAAGUUAUGAAAAUGAAUGAGAAAUUGUGAAUCAAUAUCACUAUCAGCUUGGCUUGUCAGCAGUGGAACACAGGGGGAUCACAAGCAAAUGUGAGAGAUAAGAAAGAGUGAAUAGCUUUGACUCUAAAUGUAGCCUUAUUCCCAUGGACAACAGAAAAAUAGAGGACUCUUCAACUGAACAGGGGAGGAAAACAGCAUGAUUGCAGGUUUUUACGGCUUCCAGGAAGCAAUGAUCUACUCUUCUCAGAUUCACACUUACUUGCAAGGUGCCUGAGCACCAGUAGAAAAGGAAAAAACAUUAAUAUUUCACAAUCACAAAACUGAAAUAUUUAUGUAAAUAGUGAAGAUAGAGAAAUAGCAUGAGACAGGAAGAUGAGAGACCAGUUAAAACUGUGUAAUCUAAUUAUGAUAAAAUAAGGUCAAGACUAAGAGGCAGCACUAGGGAGAAAGCAAGGAGAAAUGAGAUUUGCAAUAAAACCAUCAUGUCUUGAUGGUAAUAAGUUGGAGGGAGAAGAUGAAGAGGAAAUUGUCAAAGAUGGUAGCUAGGUUUUUGCUUUGGGAGAAGAGGUUUAAUGCAUUAUUAAGCAUCACUGUGAAUUUAAGGGGAAAAGUAGCGUUAAAUUUAUUGAGUACAUGAAGAAGUCUGGACAGAGGCUUCCCAGAAGAUAUUUUUGAAAGGAAGGAGAGUCGAGACCCGUGCUUCCUGUUUCGUUUUGUCUUUUUCACUAAUUAUCUAUUUCCAGGCUGCACUUAAAAAAUUCUUUCAGGAGUCCUCAUGGUCAUCUAACCCCUCUUUUCCCAAAUAUCAUGCAUCUAUUUUCCCAGGUUCUGUAUCUUACAAAAACUGAACACUGAAUUUUCUAGAAUAGAAACAGAGAAGAUUAGACAAACUUGUUUCUCAUUAUAGUCCAUCACACUCUGCAGGAAAGUAUCAAAAUUAUCAUUAGAUUACUGAGUUACUUGAUCCACAAAACAGAAAAAUAAAUAACUAAAAAUAUCCUAUAUUCCCAUAUUUACAAGAGGUGUGGACUCAAUGGAUUGCAAGGCUAUCCCCUGAAGUAGAAAUACACCUCUGAAGAGAUCUACCCUGCUAACCAAAGGUAAAAUCAGAGACAGUUUGUGCCCCUAAUGGGCUUUCUCCAAAGCUUAAAGGGAUUGGAACAGGAGUUGAAGGACAGUGUGACAGAUGAGAGUUCUCCAUUUUCCUCCAGAGAAGGUUCUGCUAUGUACCCCCCCCAUACCAUCCUCCAUAUGUCUCAGGCUCCAAAAAGCUUCAAAAUCUAUUGAGAAAGAUUUCUUAUUUCAACUGAAUUAAAGAGCUCAGACUUAAUUGUUAAGGUAUGUACUUAGCCCUGUGAUUUUUUUCGAGUGCUGAUAUAAUGAUGAUGAUGUAAGACCAUCUGGAAUCAAGACAAAAGUUACCUCAACCUGAAAAUUAUAUUCCUAAGCCAUACUCAUGAUAACAGGUUCAAGCAAGUUCUCAAUUUUCAUUAGCAGUCCUUGAUCUAACGAGGAUUCUUUGGCUCAUCAGCAAAUGCCAUGUUUCUUCCAAGUAGCUCAUUCCCAUUCCUCUACUCAGGCCCCAGGCUCUCACAGAGAGGGUUCCUAAUGGCCUGCAGCCCAAUCUUAAACUCACCACAUCGCUGCAGUAUGUCAUAUUCCAUCAGGAGCUACUGUGCAAAUAACAUAUUUCCAUUUUUAAAGUCUGAAAAAUGUCACAAAAAGCUUUUGGCAUUUACAUGACUCAGGCUUACACCCUCUAAUUCUCUCUGCAGCUAAUUUCUUAUGUUCGAUACAUAUCCACCACAGGAAACCAGGAAUAACGAUUACAGGAAAAGCUGAAGUUCGACAGCCCAGCCAUUAGCAUUCACAAGUCUAAAGAGUAGGGAUUUAAAUGGCACUAUCGACAGUUAUUUCUUAUAUAACGAAAAUCAGGACUGUCAACAUGUGAGACAUUAAAAAAUAUUCAGUAAUUUUAGUUAUAGCCUGUAGGGUUCUUUAAUGCAUUCCUGAGAACUAGCAAAAAUCUACAAAGAUGUGCACCAAGAGGGCCUAAUAGAUCAGAGGAGUGAAAUUAUAUUCAAUGUGGUAAAACAGCUUGCUGUAUGUUCUCUAACUACUGAUCUUAUCUCUCAUAAUCAUGCCCCAUGCUUCGUUUAAUGUUGGACCACACUCACUGUGAGAGGAAAUUCACGCUUGCAUUUUAUGAGGCUCACAUGCAGAAUCCACAUGCUACAUUUCCAUUUCUUCUGUGUCACUUUACAUAGAUUGGGCUUUUAUCUUUCUGCUGAAUAACAAUUUUUUGUUUUAUUUUCAACUGCUUAUUAUACAAGGUCUUACCAAAGGAAAUAGACCAGUGGCAGUUCUAUCCUAGCCCCAGGAAGAGAUUCAAAUGCUCUCUGAAAAUCCGCUCAUUUGAAUUUGGUUACACCGUAUGCAUCACCCCAAUGGGAGGAAUGUGCAUGAUUCAUAACUCUGCAUUGUUGAGGUGUCCUAUGUCAGGUAAAAUGGCACAAGCUCCUGAAUACUAUUAUAAUAUGCUGUACAUGCAGUAUGCCAACACAAAGUAACACACAUUUAUUUUCUUUUUAAAAGAACAACUGCUGUGCCACAGUUGUCUACAAACCCAGACUUUUAAUUCAUUGCUUGAUUUUCACAUAACUGAAUAGCUGAUUAUUCAGAUUACAAAUGGCUAAACAAUUGGUCUUCAUCAUUUGGUUUUGUCCUCAAAACUAUUCACCUAGUUGUAUCACCUACAGAACACAUAGUCUUCUACUAGUGCUAUUCCUGCAAAAAUUAAAAACCAUAAUUAUGGCAGAUGCCUGUUAAGAAAGAAGCACCAUUUUUUUUUUCACCAUUAAGUAGCUUUUUCGGUCAACAUGAAGGAAAAGUUCUUAGAGGAUGCCUUUACACUAGACUGCUAAUUUAAUCAUUAACAUUUCCAAAUUAAUCUAGAUUUUUUAAUUGAAAUCAGGUUUGAGUUAGGCAGUUUCCUAGAAGACUCAAGCAAAAGACGCAGGAUAGAAGGACUUAAGCAGAUUUUCACUAAUGUGUGACCAUACUAAACAUCUCUGAUAUAGACAAAUAUAUUUCAAAUAAUUAUUUGUGCUUUAUAAUAAAUACAAAUCAGAUGAAAUAAUGCCAGGAGGCUUUUUUAUUCAAAUUCAUCCUGACUUACUUCUGAAAAAAUUUACUUUAUAACUGCUAGAUCUUAUGUAGCAUAUUGCCUCAAUAGUAACUGCUCAGUUGUGAUAUAGAAGCCUUACAUAGUUACCUCAAUUACAAUAAAUAAGGGAUAUGUUAAAAGGUCGUCAUGGGAGCAAUGGUUACAUCUCCAUUAUAUAUAUAUGCAUAUAUAUAUAUAAUAACAUUAAUUUUAAUUUGCAUUUUAGAAUCAGAAUUUAAGAACCUAUUUUAUUGUGGUGGGAAGUGAUUUAGGGGUUAUAAGCACUGAGAAUUUCUGAUGUACUACUCCCUAACUCUUCAAAGAAUAACCUGUCCCAUUAGUUGACAUUAACUUCCUGUUUAAUAAAUAUAUACUGAUGUCUUCCAUAUUCACACCCCUUCCUGGGAGCAGAGAUGUUUACAAGGAUACUUAAGCCUUCAAGUUGCUUUCUAAUAUUCAUUCACUUAUCCCUGUAUUCAUUCAGCAGAUAUUUAUUGUCUAUUAUGAGGUAGAUACUGUGUGAUGUUGAUAAAGAAAUAAAAGGAGAAUUUUCCAUAUGGAUCUCAUAUUGUAACUGGGGAGACCAACACGGCCACAGAUAUUUAGUUUGUGCACAUUAUGUUAUGUGCUAAUUACAAUAUGUGCCAGAUACCAUGGCAAUAUAACAAGAAAACAAAUUCAUUCUCCAAGGAAGAGAGAUGGUAAAGAAACGGUUUUGAAAAAGGUAAGGGGCUUAGAAAGGCCUUUUUAGAAAGGCAAUCAUCAGUGAUUAGUCCAAGGCAGAGAGGGCACCCAGAGCUUGAAGAAGAGCAGAAGCUUGCAAGUGAGGCAGAGAAGUGUGAGUCUUCAGUUUCUUGAACUUGGGAACAGAAGAAGUGUGUGAAUUGUAGUUAUUGCAGCAUACUCCCUUCAGUUCAAAAUAGGAGUUACAAACUUGUGCCCUUUGGAUCAUUUAUGGCCUUUGUAUGUGUUAGGUUGACUUAUGCAGUGUUUGAAUUUGCGGACAAAAUUUAAAUAUG